CUCUUAUCGAGAGCGGCGGAGGGAUAGGCCCGAUGAAGCCCGGCAACCGAUUUGUAUGGAAUGCGUUACAUGGUAUUCUGUACAAAUGUCAUGGUGCUAAUUCCUACAAUGCCGUACAGGUUACGGUCGUUGGCAGAUGAGAA
rnacentral:ncRNA from 2 species